AGCUUUUGUGUGAGUAUUUACAGCUCUACAUGAAAUACUGGUUUACAAGAAUCAGCCGCAAAACCAUGGCUACAGUCACUGUUGAAUAUUGUAAAGGAUGAAGCUAUGCGUACCGCUACCAGGAGCUGGCUGGUGCCAUAAGGCAGGUUCCUGGUGUGCUAGUGACGGGAGUCAAGGGGAGAACAGACAGUUUCGAGGUGUCACUGAAUGGUGAACUGAUCCACUCCAAGCUGGAUACAGAAGUGUUUCCUGAUACUUCACAGAUGGUGGAGUUGGUGAAGAAGACGGUUGGGGUAAAAGGGGGGGAAAAAACAUCAAAGGCAGUGAACCAGAAGAACAAAUGUGUUCACCAUUAGAAGAUGAAAGAUACAACAGGAUCCCUCACACCCACCUAUUUGAAUACAAGAAAAUAUGACACAUUUGUGUUUGUAGACCAAAAUCAAGGCCUUUAAGUUUCACCAUCAUGAAAAGAUCAGACCUCAUGAAUACGGACAAAGACAAGAAGGUGAUGAGAGAGCUUUGAGGAGCUGGGCACUGAUUCGUACUUCUAUUUAUGAAUGUAUGCACUGAAAACAUGGGUGUGUACACGACGCAAACCAAGAAGCUUUUCAGCUGACCUGGAGCCUGAGAAACUGCUCUCAUCAUGUCCAUCUGGCAUAAAUAAAAUAUCUACACAGCUGCAUGUACAGAAUGCAGAAAAUCCGAAAAUAUAACUCCUUAUCAAUCCACAUAUUUAUUUCAUAUUUAGCUUUUCUGUGUUUAGAUAACUUCUGAAGUUUCCUGUCACAUGCCAGGAGUUUAAAGAAAUAGUUUGACAUUUUUGGUAAAACGCUUAUUAGCUUUAGCUUUUAUGCUGCGAGUUAAACAAGAAGACUGACAGCUUCCCCUAAUGAGAGAGGCGUUGAUGUUCUCAUCUAAUUCUCUGUAAGAAAGUGAAUCGGCAUGUUUCUUGAAAAACGCCCAACUAUGUGAUCUUUGUGUGUUUGCUGGCAGAAUGUGCACCACUAAUUUCCUCUUGCUUGUCAUUUAUACUCUCAAACACUUCAUGAACAUGGACUCAUAUCUGCCAUUUAUGCCCUUCUUUCUGUUCCCUGUAUGGUGUUUGGUUUGGUUGUGAUGAGCUGAGCACUGCAAAUGUUACACAUAACAUGUAACUAUUUAAAUGACUUACUGUUAUGCUGUUGUUAACCAGUUUUUAACCAAUCCCAACAAGAAAUGCAAUAAAA